AUCGUUAUUGAUAAAACAAU
rnacentral:miRNA from 1 species